rnacentral:lncRNA from 1 species
GCCCCUUCUGCUCCGCACUGGGGUAGGGGCUCGGCGCUGUCUCGGAGAAAGGCCAGGCUCCUUCCAGUCAGGGAAUAAUGACAGCUCGCGCGCUCGCAGCCCGCCCCGCCCCGCCUCACCAGGCCCGCAGGCGGCUCCUCCCGCCCGGCUGAGGGGUCCGGCCGCGCCCCCUCCUCUCCCCGCCCUGGCCCGGGGUGCCCCCCGCCCGCACCGCCAGCCUCACCGGGUCGGAGCUGGAGGCCGCCGUCGCGGCGGCUGCACCACAGCGCGCGCUCGCCCUGCUGCAGGAUGUAGUGGUCCUUGGCUUGGAAGAGCUCCAUGCUGGCCCCGCGCGCCCAGGGAGGCGGCGGCCCGCGGGCGGCGCACGGGGCGUCCUAGUCGGUCGAGGCCGCCAGAGCCCGCGCCUCGGGGAGCGGCCGGGUAGGAACCGCGCCGAGAAGCAGCGGCAGAGGGAACGCCCCGGGGCACCCGACCGAAGUUUGACAACAGGAGGCAUUCAAUAAAUGCACAUCAACGAGGGAAAGCAUGUAACAAUAGAAAACACACAAGCAUUAGCAGCACGCGGCUAAAGAGCGAGGAGGAAGGGAGGAAUGUACAGGUGCUGCUGUGUCCCGAAUUAAGCAGGGCGGUUUGGAGAAGACUUCACAAAUGGAGCCAGUUAAUGAAGCAAGCGGAAGGAAUAUCGUUUGGCGAGGAUAAGAUGAAUGGAGACCCUCUCGGGGAAGGAGGAGUCUCCCCCAAACAUCCUUGAGCUCAGUCUGUCUUGAAAAACCAGUUGAUAUCCUGAACAGAAUGGGUCUGGAGAAUGAGGCCCCCACUUCCGGGGCCAGUUCGAGGACUAUCUAGCUGUGUGAUCUUGGGGAAGUCUCUUGGUCUCAGAUGGUGGUUGAACUAAUGACCUUUUAUGACACCCCCAGUUCUAUAAAUCAUUGAGUCUUCCUACUCCUAACUCCUUGCCUUCUCUAAUGCCUGAAU